rnacentral:rRNA from 1 species
CGACUUGGAGGUUGUGCCCUUGAGGCGUGGCUUCCGGAGCUAACGCGUUAAGUCGACCGCCUGGGGAGUACGGCCGCAAGGUUAAAACUCAAAUGAAUUGACGGGGGCCCGCACAAGCGGUGGAGCAUGUGGUUUAAUUCGAUGCAACGCGAAGAACCUUACCUACUCUUGACAUCCAGAGAACUUUCCAGAGAUGGAUUGGUGCCUUCGGGAACUCUGAGACAGGUGCUGCAUGGCUGUCGUCAGCUCGUGUUGUGAAAUGUUGGGUUAAGUCCCGCAACGAGCGCAACCCUUAUCCUUUGUUGCCAGCGGUCCGGCCGGGAACUCAAAGGAGACUGCCAGUGAUAAACUGGAGGAAGGUGGGGAUGACGUCAAGUCAUCAUGGCCCUUACGAGUAGGGCUACACACGUGCUACAAUGGCGCAUACAAAGAGAAGCGACCUCGCGAGAGCAAGCGGACCUCAUAAAGUGCGUCGUAGUCCGGAUUGGAGUCUGCAACUCGACUCCAUGAAGUCGGAAUCGCUAGUAAUCGUAGAUCAGAAUGCUACGGUGAAUACGUUCCCGGGCCUUGUACACACCGCCCGUCACACCAUGGGAGUGGGUUGCAAAAGAAGUAGGUAGCUUAACCUUCGGGAGGGCGCUUACCACUUUGUGAUUCAUGACUGGGGUGAAGUCGUAACAAGGUACC